CUCUUUUUCGGUGUGUGCCUGUGUGCGUGCUGCGGUGACUCCCCGGGCCGCCCCUUCUAUCUCCCCUGUCGCGGCGUGGACGACGACCGGCGCGCAGGCAAGCGAGGAUUUGUGUGGUGUGUCACUCCGCAGUCGCUUUGCAUCGUGCUGCUGUUGCUCUGGGGCGGGGCGUCCUGCACGACGCACUGGACCCUCCCCUCCCCGCAAUCAUGCGGCUGCAUCGGCGAGCCGCGCUGCUCCUGUGCGCGAGGGCGCGGCGCACGGUUGUCUCGGUCGGCUCCUCCUCGUUCUGUGCAACUGGUGUGGCGGCGGCCGAGUUCUCUUCCGCAACCACGCCACCGCGGCGUAGAAGCGUCGGUUCCGCGUCCGGCGCGGUGGACAGUCACGCGGCCGCCGUUCUUGCCGCGGGCGGUCCUGCUGCUGCUGCUGCCCUUCAACACCAUUCGCAUCAUGCGCCGCUGCAAGAACAUCCGCGGCGGACUGUCUACCGCAAGGGGGGCUACCCCGCGGUUGGGCGCCUCCGCGGGUCUGGCCUUGGCUUGGCCUCGGGGCGUGUGCAGACGUCCCUAACCGUCUACGUGCUCGCUGCCUCCGUCGGACUGCUCUGCGUCUUGUACUACUUCACUACCUACACGUACGUGCUGACGACUAAUGUGUCACCGUACCGCAACUCCCUCUUCUUCCACUUUCCAUGCGAUAUGGCGAUCCUUGAGAACAAGCUGACACACAAGCGGCACACCGUCGAGGUGGUGCCGGCUGCGAUGGCACCGCAGCCCCUCGUUCACGACAACCGCGAAGAAGUAGAUCAUGCCGGGCUUGCUCGUCCCAAGCCGGCAGUUGUGGAGCGCCGGCUGCACAUCAACACGGUACUGCACCGCGUGUUCCUCUACCUACAAAAGACAGAGUCUCUCGUCACGGUGGACGCGCAGGCGGAGAUGGCGCCGUACCGCUUCAUGGAUGGCGCGAACAGCCUGGGCAAGGCCUCUCGCGCAUCGGUGGGGUUCCUCCGAGAGGACCAGCUCUUGCCCGACAUCAACGACUACCGCACGAGCACAGCGUCGUCGCAGAGACGGUGGUGGCAGUGGUGGGGUAGAGGGGCAAGCACGGCAGCAGCGCCGUUACUGCGGUCUGCCUCCGGUUCUAGUGGGUACGCCGCAACCGCGGCAGAAAUACCAGCGACACCGAAGGGGCCUACGAAGAUCCUGCUCAGGAGUAGCGUGCGUCUGCGCGACUCCAUGAACGGAUACCAGAAGGGUCACAUUGGCACAUAUGAGCAGUUUAUCCACCACCUCGCGCAGGAGAACAUCAAGCAGCGCUACUACGCCUACGUGCUGGCGAGGAGCAUGACAAAGAACAGCGGCCUGCGCAAGUUUUACGCAGAAGAGCUGAUCCGCAACGGCCUUCUAUCAGGCGACGGCGUGACGUUGACGGAGCUGGUGCCGGAUGUGCAGCGGUUUGCUGAUGAGGUGUUCGCGCAGGUGCGGGAAAAGUUUGGCGACGACGCCAUCGUUUACGAGUACACCGCCACCAUGUGGUAGUAUCACUGGCUGAAGUGCGUUGCCUCUGUCAGCGAGGCGAGAGUGCGCGUUGACCGUCUCGGCGUGCACGUGGGUCCGGACCUGUGAGCCUGCCGGUAUGUGCUACAUAGACGAAUAUGGAAGGGCGAAGGGAGCGCAGUGUGACGGCAUCUCAAUUCUGCUGCGGCUGCUCCUGUUGUUGUAGGCCGCUCUCCCCUCCUUCCCGCUCUCUCAGGAGCUCGGCUUUUGGUUUGGGUGAGUGCAGUCACAAGCGGAUGAUCGGCGCGCGCCUAUGGAACGAACAACGAUGGAUGACGGAGGAAAACAGCGGAGCUCAUGGCGAACGGAGAGGCGCAACCUGACGCCCCAGCAUACUGAUGAAGGCGUGCAGAGGGAGCUCUCUCGGGUGUCCUUCC
rnacentral:misc_RNA from 1 species